rnacentral:rRNA from 1 species
UAAUGUUUGAUGUUCUAACGUGGACCCGUGAUCCGGGUUGCGGACAGUGUCUGGUGGGUAGUUUGACUGGGGCGGUCUCCUCCUAAAGAGUAACGGAGGAGCACGAAGGUUGGCUAAUCCUGGUCGGACAUCAGGAGGUUAGUGCAAUGGCAUAAGCCAGCUUGACUGCGAGCGUGACGGCGCGAGCAGGUGCGAAAGCAGGUCAUAGUGAUCCGGUGGUUCUGAAUGGAAGGGCCAUCGCUCAACGGAUAAAAGGUACUCCGGGGAUAACAGGCUGAUACCGCCCAAGAGUUCAUAUCGACGGCGGUGUUUGGCACCUCGAUGUCGGCUCAUCACAUCCUGGGGCUGAAGUAGGUCCCAAGGGUAUGGCUGUUCGCCAUUUAAAGUGGUACGCGAGCUGGGUUUAGAACGUCGUGAGACAGUUCGGUCCCUAUCUGCCGUGGGCGCUGGAGAACUGAGGGGGGCUGCUCCUAGUACGAGAGGACCGGAGUGGACGCAUCACUGGUGUUCGGGUUGUCAUGCCAAUGGCACUGCCCGGUAGCUAAAUGCGGAAGAGAUAAGUGCUGAAAGCAUCUAAGCACGAAACUUGCCCCGAGAUGAGUUCUCCCUGAGACUUAAAGUCUCCUGAAGGAACGUUGAAGACGACGACGUUGAUAGGCCGGGUGUGUAAGCGCAGCGAUGCGUUGAGCUAACCGGUACUAAUGAACCGUGAGGCUUAACCUU